rnacentral:rRNA from 1 species
GAUGAACGCUAGCUACAGGCUUAACACAUGCAAGUCGAGGGGAAACGAUAGAGAAAGCUUGCUUUUUCUAGGCGUCGACCGGCGCACGGGUGAGUAACGCGUAUCCAACCUGCCCACCACUUGGGGAUAACCUUGCGCAAGUAAGACUAAUACCCAAUGACGUCCAUAGAAGACAUCUGAAAUGGAUUAAAGAUCUAUCGGUGAUGGAUGGGGAUGCGUCUGAUUAGCUUGUUGGCGGGGUAACGGCCCACCAAGGCGACGAUCAGUAGGGGUUCUGAGAGGAAGGUCCCCCACAUUGGAACUGAGACACGGUCCAAACUCCUACGGGAGGCAGCAGUGAGGAAUAUUGGUCAAUGGGCGAGAGCCUGAACCAGCCAAGUAGCGUGCAGGAUGACGGCCCUAUGGGUUGUAAACUGCUUUUAUAAGGGAAUAAAGUGGGAGUCGUGACUCCUUUUGCAUGUACCUUAUGAAUAAGGACCGGCUAAUUCCGUGCCAGCAGCCGCCGUAACAC